CAAGUUGCUGAUAUCUGUUUCACUUAAAUCCAGUCCAUGGCCUUGUCUUAUUCUUUAAUUUGGGACAAAUUUCUCUGUCUCCUCAUUUUUUUGCCUUAGUCAU